UACCAGCACCCCGAGUGGUCGGGACGAUUAUUGGGCCUAAAGCAUCCGUAGCCGGUCCUGCAAGUCUUCCGUUAAAUCCAGCUGCUCAACAGAUGGGCUGCGGGGGAUACUACAUGGCUAGGAGGCGGGAGAGGCAAGCGGUACUUUAUGGGUAGGGGUAAAAUCCGUUGAUCCAUAGAAGACCACCAGUGGCGAAGGCGGCUUGCCAGAACGCGCUCGACGGUGAGGGAUGAAAGCUGGAGGAGCAAACCGG
rnacentral:rRNA from 1 species